AAUGUUUUUGAAUGUUAAAUUACGCCAUGCUGUUGCAUACGUUUUGAUGUCGUUGUUAUGACGUCAUGUUCCACAUGACGUCAUCAACGUUAUUGCUUGUAAACAUUGUACCCCUGAUGAAGGCAUUGAAAGCCGAAACUAGUUGGAAAUAAAUUAAAAACCACUUUGAAGUUGUUCUUCCAUUUUCAAUUGUAGUAUAUUGUCAUUAAUUUAUCAAAUAAUUGGCUGUUAAGGAGUUUAACUGACACGAUGUAAAAAGGUUUGCUGCGUCUGGUUUAUUUGCAUUUCAAUUACCAUGGACGUGGUUAUUUUCUUUUAUCGCGAGAUUCUUGAUUAGCUACAAUACAAAACACAUCUGACACCUCUUCAUAUAAAUGACAUACAACUAUGUUUCCAUAUGCCAUCAAUCAUUAAUAUUAGACAAUAUCCCUAAGAAAUACUAGUAAGUAAGAUAUGCAUGUAUGAAUAAUUGUUCGCGAUUCUUCUAUUUUUUCAUGUUUCUUAAUGCUCGUAAAAGACACAUUUGGGAAGACAGUUCAUUGACUUUUCUGAAUCAUUUGAUUUCAGAUCUCUCACUGUGUUUGAUUACUAUCGUUGAUUACCAUACUACAGUUAUAUAGAAGACAAAAACGUUCAUUUCGUGAUUAUGUAGCGAAUAAACCUAGCAUUACGUUCAUGAUAAACACUGGAAUAUAAGACAGCGAAACCAUUGCAAGUGCAUAUCGACAAAUAACUGAUACCUUGUCAUUUGUCGUAAUUUGUAUGACGUGACUGAUUUUGUUGUAAAUGCUAGAUGGCAAGAAAAUGAAGGAGAUGACGUAUACAAGUCCAAAGAUACUCUUGUUUGUCUUGUGUUUGAAUUUGUGAAUGCAUUUGAUAUGCUUUUACAUUUGUUUCAAUAGGGAUUUGUAUCGUUUGAGAUGAAAGAACUGUCACCAUAAAAUGAGUUUGUUUUUCUUGAUAAUUGAGACAAAUGUAGUUUUUAUAUUUAUAAUGGCAUGGCAAUAACAAUAAGUCUGAUAAGUCUGCCUUUGUUUGUAAUGUUACUGACACAUGUAUUGUUUUGAACAUAAAUUGUACUUAUUUCUUUCGACAAAGUUUUCUUAUAUACUUGUCAAUUAUCAAAGCCUAUUGUAAUUAGAGAAACCGUUAACGAACAGCAUGGAUCCUGACCAGACUGCGCGGAUGCGCAGGCUGGUCUGGAUCCAUGCUAGUCGCAAAGCCACUAUGUUGAUUUUCUCAUGGCGCGGCUCAUUUUCGUUGUCGUUCGUUCAGAAGGUCAGUGUCCUUAUUAGUUCUUGUUGCAAUCGAAGUAUGCUGUUAUAGCUGUUAUCAUGUUGCGAUGUUUAAAAAGGGUCUAAAUGUUUUUCUACUAUUACUUUCUAUACAAAAUAAGCAAUAACAUCUUUGUAUCAGCAUUUCCAGUCUUUCGCUGAUUGUAGGGUGCAGUCGAAAUUACCCUAAAAAUAUGUGUUUGACCACAAUGCAAGAAAACCUGAAACACGUAGUAAAUUUAAAAGCGCUAAUAUCUCGUAGGUAGACAUCUGGAAAUACUUAUAUUCACUGUCAAUUUACCCGGAAGUUCAGACAAAUGAAGUUGCUUAAAAUCAUCCACAGACGUUCCUUGCUACAGUCAAGCAUCCAUAAAGUUUAUUUAUCACAUGUUUUUCAGUGAAUUACCGAAGUAUUAGAGUGUUUUCCCCUAACGACCUUGUUGUUUGUGUAGAUUUGUAAACGACGUCAGAUCACUUGAUAUCGUUGCACUAACGUUGAACAUACGAAAAUAUUUACGUAUUUCCCUUCGUACAAAACACUUAGUGACUAGCACUUAAUUGUAGUUGAAAACACAUGUAGCGUAUUUAAAGUACAGGAAAUCGUAUUGUUUUUACAACUCUUUCCUAAUGAAGGCACGUCUAGGUUAAUUCGAAUGAACGAAUUUACACCACGUUGUUAUCGUAUAUUUCCGGUUCAGACAAAAUAGUUCUUUUUGUAAUGCCAAAUGGUUGUGUGAAACUACUUUGAGUAAUCGUUUCUGCUGCAGUUGAAAAUCUUCCAUAAAUUGAAUGUCAAAUACUCCUACAAACUGACAUAUAUACCAUGUUUAUAAAAAACCACGGAGAAAUCUAAAGAAAAUUACACAAUUUCAAAUUCUAAAGAAAAUACUGUGUUUAUGUUAAUUUAAAGGAUUAAUAAAUCUGUUUAAAGUACAAGAGAUCAUGUUGUUUAUAUCAACACGUAAAAACAAUUCUGUUAUUGUCAGGCAUCUCAGUGUAAGCUAAUUCGCAAGAACGAAUGUAUAGCACGUGUCUAAAUUUAUUACGAUAUUUUCUAGACACUGAAACAAAACAGAGGUCUGAAAAUGACAUCACAAAUGCUAAAUUUUGUUAAAUCGGUCAAAUUAUUGCAGAAACACUCAGUUGACUUUAGGAACGUCUAGAAAUGCGACCUGUUCUGCGAAAUAUUGACAAUUCAUUUACAUUACAGGAUAUUAUUCUGACAGUUUAUGCGGAUGUUGUUGUUUAUUUAGAAACACAUCAGUUUGUAGUGCAUGCUUUCCUUACACACACAAUAAUAAAUAUUUACAACACUGAAGUUGGCAUAAUUGCGUAUUAAUGUAAAAAAUAUGCUUGAUAAGGGGAUGAAUGGGUGCUGGUCGUCUGUCGCACAAAGUUAAUAUUUUUACACUUUAGAUAGCGUCAACAUUUUUAAGCAGUUGUGUGCAAACUUCAACACGAUCUCUAAGCCUGUAGGAUUUUAGUCAGAUAAGAUUUGUAAAUCUUACCGUUAGUUCAAGAGUCACGGUCCUUGAUUUGUAAAACAGAUACCAUUUUUUCAAUCAAUUUGGAUAUACGCUAGCAUUUCUCCACCAAUCCUGAUGACUUUUCAUCAAAUUACCCGAAAGACAAUAUUUUAACCACGUUUCAUUAUAAGCCCGAUAAAAUCAGGUAGUCUAGAGUUAUAUGCCCUUACUCAAUAUCUAUGUAUAUAUAUUCAUAUCAAUAUUUAUAUUUCAGAACCCUCAGUGAGUAUAUAUACCAGUGUGGUCCGCAGUAUCUGGAGGAACUAGUCAUAUCAAAGAUGCAAUGAUUAGGGAAUCAGACCUGAUUUUAGCAGGCUACUAUGUGGACGUGGCUGCUCUAGCUACCAACGAUACGUGUAUUGAACCUGUUUAAAACGGAGGACAAUUACUCAAAACAAAAGUUACCUAAUCUGAAAUAGCCAAGGUUGAUGUUCGUGACUGACACAAUAGAAAAAAAAUAGGACACCAUUGACAGGGCUACCUAGAGCAAUCAUCGCUAAUGACCAGUGUUCAUUAAAAAAAAGGAAUAUUUUGUCAUUUUUGGUAAUUUGUGUGUCGUGACUGAUCAUUAUGUAAAUGUCAGAUGACGUGAUAAUGAAGGAAGCAACGUCUAUUCCCACAGAUGAUCUAGUGUGUGAAUGUAUUUGACAUACUUUUAAGCUUUGUACUAGCGAUUAUGUGUUACUUUUGUUCCAGACAAAAGAACUUUUACUAAAAAGAGAAACUGAUAAAUUCAAUUUUAUGAAAUAUAUUAAAUUUAUAGUUUCAUUCCAGCUAACCUUGUUGUUUGAUAAUAAUUGAUAUACAAAUUGUGUUUUAACAUGCUUGAAUUUCCUCAUUUUAUGCAUUUUAUAAUAAUUAUAUUACUUGCAUUUUUAUGUUCCCGUUGCCGAAGACCCGACAAGCAUAUAGUAUUUGAACCAUGAAAUGGAAAUCUUCAUAUUGUUUGGACAUUCAUGUACGUUUCUUUUAGUUUUGUCUUUUUCUGUUCUUAAACACUGAAAUAUUUCAGCUACAUCAAAACAUGUUGUACUCGACUCCUUCUGCAGUGUCUGUCGAACUAAAAUGAAACUUGGCAUACACCAUCAUCAUGAAGUGGAUAUGCGCACAUGAUUUUGGAGACUUUUAUGUCAUUUUGUUUUGUUUCUGAAGUUAUAGCCCUUUAUGAUAUUGAAGAAUUAAAACUACAUCAUAACAUUGUUAAAUCAACUCCUACAGUUUCCAGUUGGAAUGAAACAUGGUAUACAACAUUGACGUAAACGUCUUGCGCAUAUUGUCGGGCACUAUAAUGCCUGAUAUUUUAUUCUGGAGUAAUGACCUUUUUUUAUCAAAAUGAGUAUUACAAGCAUUGUAAUUGUGUGUAGUCAAUUCCUCCUGCAGUUUACCAUCCAUUUCAAAUUAAAUAGUAAUCAUCAUUUAGUAGA